AUUAGACAAAUCAUUUUUCUACUUAGUACAUCUUGUGUUCUUGAGCGUGCAUCACCGAGAAACCAGCGAAUUUAGUGAAUUUUUUGGCCCAAAAUAAUAUUCAACGGUGUAAUGGAGUUGAUGGGAGGAUGUGGAGUGAGGAAUUUGUGGCAGUGAAUGAGAGUGAUUCACAGAAACUGACCAGCUUUUACCCCACAAACCCCAAGGAGAAAUAAAAUCUCCGAAAUAUUGUGAUAGAGUGGAACUCAUUGGUCUUUUCCAGCGAAGUUAGUGUGAUGAGUGUUUAAAAAAUAUUGUUAAUUUAAAGUGAGCUGAACUUCAAUUUGUCUAAUAUUUUCUGCGGCGUUCUUGGAUUGCUUAACUAGGAUCUUCUCGUCUACCACUUCUCCUAUUUUCAGCAUCUUCAGAUCUCUCAAAGCGUCCGUUGAAUGGCCAAAGUCGUUAAACGCCUUCGUUCCAUCCUUUCCAGCCCACUCCAAGAUGAGAUCAUCGCCGCCCGGAUGCUAAAAUCGAGAUCAAUCAUUAAAUGUUCUCCUUUACUUCCGAGGAAUAAAACACCAACAUCCUGAAGAUAA